GACGAACGCCGGCGGCACGCCUAACACAUGCAAGUCGAACGGUGAAGAGAAGCUUGCUUCUCGGAUCAGUGGCGGACGGGUGAGUAACAUGUGAGGAACCUGCCUUUCAGAGGGGGAUAACGUUUGGAAACGAACGCUAAUACCGCAUAACAUAUUCGGACGGCAUCGUCUGAAUAUCAAAGGAGCAAUUCGCUGAAAGAUGGCCUCGCACCUGAUUAGAUAGUUGGUGAGGUAACGGCUCACCAAGUCGACGAUCAGUAGCCGGACUGAGAGGAUGAACGGCCACAUUGGGACUGAGAUACGGCCCAGACUCCUACGGGAGGCAGCAGUGGGGAAUAUUGGGCAAUGGGCGAAAGACCUGACCCAGCAACGCCGCGUG
rnacentral:rRNA from 1 species